rnacentral:rRNA from 1 species
GGUUAAGCGACUAAGCGUACACGGUGGAUGCCCUGGCAGUCAGAGGCGAUGAAGGACGUGCUAAUCUGCGAUAAGCGUCGGUAAGGUGAUAUGAACCGUUAUAACCGGCGAUUUCCGAAUGGGGAAACCCAGUGUGAUUCGUCACACUAUCAUUAACUGAAUCCAUAGGUUAAUGAGGCGAACCGGGGGAACUGAAACAUCUAAGUACCCCGAGGAAAAGAAAUCAACCGAGAUUCCCCCAGUAGCGGCGAGCGAACGGGGAGGAGCCCAGAGCCUGAAUCAGUGUGUGUGUUAGUGGAAGCGUCUGGAAAGGCGCGCGAUACAGGGUGACAGCCCCGUACACAAAAAUGCACAUGCUGUGAGCUCGAUGAGUAGGGCGGGACACGUGGUAUCCUGUCUGAAUAUGGGGGGACCAUCCUCCAAGGCUAAAUACUCCUGACUGACCGAUAGUGAACCAGUACCGUGAGGGAAAGGCGAAAAGAACCCCGGCGAGGGGAGUGAAAAAGAACCUGAAACCGUGUACGUACAAGCAGUGGGAGCACAGAGCAAUCUGUGUGACUGCGUACCUUUUGUAUAAUGGGUCAGCGACUUAUAUUCUGUAGCAAGGUUAACCGAAUAGGGGAGCCGAAGGGAAACCGAGUCUUAACUGGGCGUUAAGUUGCAGGGUAUAGACCCGAAACCCGGUGAUCUAGCCAUGGGCAGGUUGAAGGUUGGGUAACACUAACUGGAGGACCGAACCGACUAAUGUUGAAAAAUUAGCGGAUGACUUGUGGCUGGGGGUGAAAGGCCAAUCAAACCGGGAGAUAGCUGGUUCUCCCCGAAAGCUAUUUAGGUAGCGCCUCGUGAAUUCAUCUCCGGGGGUAGAGCACUGUUUCGGCAAGGGGGUCAUCCCGACUUACCAACCCGAUGCAAACUGCGAAUACCGGAGAAUGUUAUCACGGGAGACACACGGCGGGUGCUAACGUCCGUCGUGAAGAGGGAAACAACCCAGACCGCCAGCUAAGGUCCCAAAGUCAUGGUUAAGUGGGAAACGAUGUGGGAAGGCCCAGACAGCCAGGAUGUUGGCUUAGAAGCAGCCAUCAUUUAAAGAAAGCGUAAUAGCUCACUGGUCGAGUCGGCCUGCGCGGAAGAUGUAACGGGGCUAAACCAUGCACCGAAGCUGCGGCAGCGACACUGUGUGUUGUUGGGUAGGGGAGCGUUCUGUAAGCCUGUGAAGGUGUGCUGUGAGGCAUGCUGGAGGUAUCAGAAGUGCGAAUGCUGACAUAAGUAACGAUAAAGCGGGUGAAAAGCCCGCUCGCCGGAAGACCAAGGGUUCCUGUCCAACGUUAAUCGGGGCAGGGUGAGUCGACCCCUAAGGCGAGGCCGAAAGGCGUAGUCGAUGGGAAACAGGUUAAUAUUCCUGUACUUGGUGUUACUGCGAAGGGGGACGGAGAAGGCUAUGUUGGCCGGGCGACGGUUGUCCCGGUUUAAGCGUGUAGGCUGGUUUUCCGAGCAAAUCCGGAAAAUCAAGGCUGAGGCGUGAUGACGAGGCACUACGGUGCUGAAGCAACAAAUGCCCUGCUUCCAGGAAAAGCCUCUAAGCAUCAGGUAACAUCAAAUCGUACCCCAAACCGACACAGGUGGUCAGGUAGAGAAUACCAAGGCGCUUGAGAGAACUCGGGUGAAGGAACUAGGCAAAAUGGUGCCGUAACUUCGGGAGAAGGCACGCUGAUAUGUAGGUGAAGUCCCUCGCGGAUGGAGCUGAAAUCAGUCGAAGAUACCAGCUGGCUGCAACUGUUUAUUAAAAACACAGCACUGUGCAAACACGAAAGUGGACGUAUACGGUGUGACGCCUGCCCGGUGCCGGAAGGUUAAUUGAUGGGGUCAGCGCAAGCGAAGCUCUUGAUCGAAGCCCCGGUAAACGGCGGCCGUAACUAUAACGGUCCUAAGGUAGCGAAAUUCCUUGUCGGGUAAGUUCCGACCUGCACGAAUGGCGUAAUGAUGGCCAGGCUGUCUCCACCCGAGACUCAGUGAAAUUGAACUCGCUGUGAAGAUGCAGUGUACCCGCGGCAAGACGGAAAGACCCCGUGAACCUUUACUAUAGCUUGACACUGAACAUUGAGCCUUGAUGUGUAGGAUAGGUGGGAGGCUUUGAAGUGUGGACGCCAGUCUGCAUGGAGCCGACCUUGAAAUACCACCCUUUAAUGUUUGAUGUUCUAACGUGGACCCGUGAUCCGGGUUGCGGACAGUGUCUGGUGGGUAGUUUGACUGGGGCGGUCUCCUCCUAAAGAGUAACGGAGGAGCACGAAGGUUGGCUAAUCCCGGUCGGACAUCAGGAGGUUAGUGCAAUGGCAUAAGCCAGCUUGACUGCGAGCGUGACGGCGCGAGCAGGUGCGAAAGCAGGUCAUAGUGAUCCGGUGGUUCUGAAUGGAAGGGCCAUCGCUCAACGGAUAAAAGGUACUCCGGGGAUAACAGGCUGAUACCGCCCAAGAGUUCAUAUCGACGGCGGUGUUUGGCACCUCGAUGUCGGCUCAUCACAUCCUGGGGCUGAAGUAGGUCCCAAGGGUAUGGCUGUUCGCCAUUUAAAGUGGUACGCGAGCUGGGUUUAGAACGUCGUGAGACAGUUCGGUCCCUAUCUGCCGUGGGCGCUGGAGAACUGAGGGGGGCUGCUCCUAGUACGAGAGGACCGGAGUGGACGCAUCACUGGUGUUCGGGUUGUCAUGCCAAUGGCACUGCCCGGUAGCUAAAUGCGGAAGAGAUAAGUGCUGAAAGCAUCUAAGCACGAAACUUGCCCCGAGAUGAGUUCUCCCUGACCCUUUAAGGGUCCUGAAGGAACGUUGAAGACGACGACGUUGAUAGGCCGGGUGUGUAAGCGCAGCGAUGCGUUGAGCUAACCGGUACUAAUGAACCGUGAGGCUUAACCUU